UUUUUUUUGAUUUGCACCGGGUGUCCGAGUCUCUUUGAGCCCCGACUAAUCCCGGGGGUGCACAGGCCCUCGGCAAGGAGUUUCCCGCAAGUGCACCACGGUUAAUUCAGGUUUUACCCAGUCCGAUGGCCCUCAGAAAUUGCUGCACCAGUGGGUUCGAACUUGAGACCUUGAAAGGGAGCAAACCCCAAGGCUCAAGUCAAUUGCCAGCAGGCCAACCCCUGAGGGUUUUAUGAAUAUAUCUUUUUUUUUGAUUUGCACCGGGUGUCCCAGUCUCUUUGAGCCCCGACUAAUCCCGGGGGUGCACAGGCCCUCGGCAAGGAGUUUCCCGCAAGUGCACCACGGUUAAUUCAGGUUUUACCCAGUCCGAUGGCCCUCAGAAAUUGCUUGCACCCAGUGGGUUUCGAACUUGAGACCUUGAAAGGGAGCAAACCCCAAGGCUCAAGUCAAUUGCCAGCAGGCCAACCCCUGAGGGUU
rnacentral:lncRNA from 1 species